CACUCCUACGGGAGGCAGCAGUGGGGAAUAUUGGACAAUGGGGGCAACCCUGAUCCAGCCAUGCCGCGUGAGUGAUGAAGGCCCUAGGGUUGUAAAGCUCUUUUGUGCGGGAAGAUAAUGACGGUACCGCAAGAAUAAGCCCCGGCUAACUUCGUGCCAGCAGCCGCGGUAAUACGAAGGGGGCUAGCGUUGCUCGGAAUCACUGGGCGUAAAGGGUGCGUAGGCGGGUCUUUAAGUCAGGGGUGAAAUCCUGGAGCUCAACUCCAGAACUGCCUUUGAUACUGAGGAUCUUGAGUCCGGAAGAGGUGAGUGGAACUGCGAGUGUAGAGGUGAAAUUCGUAGAUAUUCGCAAGAACACCAGUGGCGAAGGCGGCUCACUGGUCCGGUACUGACGCUGAGGCACGAAAGCGUGGGGAGCAAACAGGAUUAGAAACCCGGGUAGUCCCA
rnacentral:rRNA from 1 species